AGAGUUUGAUCAUGGCUCAGGAUGAACGCUAGCGGCAGGCUUAACACAUGCAAGUCGAGGGGUAACGGGAGUGCUUGCACUCGCCGACGACCGGCGCACGGGUGCGUAACGCGUAUACAAUCUACCCUUUACUGGGGAAUAGCCCAGAGAAAUUUGGAUUAAUGCCCCAUAGUACAUAUAUAUGGCAUCAUAUUUAUGUUAAAGGCUACGGUAAAGGAUGAGUAUGCGUACCAUUAGUUAGUUGGUAAGGUAACGGCUUACCAAGACUGCGAUGGUUAGGGGCCCUGAGAGGGGGAUCCCCCACACUGGUACUGAGACACGGACCAGACUCCUACGGGAGGCAGCAGUGAGGAAUAUUGGACAAUGGGCGAGAGCCUGAUCCAGCCAUGCCGCGUGUAGGAAGACUGCCCUAUGGGUUGUAAACUACUUUUACAUGGGAAGAAUAAGGGUCACGUGUGGCCUUAUGACGGUACCAUGAGAAUAAGGACCGGCUAACUCCGUGCCAGCAGCCGCGGUAAUACGGAGGGUCCGAGCGUUAUCCGGAAUUAUUGGGUUUAAAGGGUCCGUAGGCGGGCCGUUAAGUCAGGGGUGAAAGUUUGUGGCCCAACCAUAAAAUUGCCUUUGAUACUGACGGUCUUGAGUUAUAGUGAAGUUGCCGGAAUAUGUAGUGUAGCGGUGAAAUGCAUAGAUAUUACAUAGAACACCGAUUGCGAAGGCAGGUGACUAACUAUAUACUGACGCUGAUGGACGAAAGCGUGGGGAGCGAACAGGAUUAGAUACCCUGGUAGUCCACGCCGUAAACGAUGGAUACUAGCUGUUCGGUCUUCGGACUGAGCGGCCAAGCGAAAGUGAUAAGUAUCCCACCUGGGGAGUACGUUCGCAAGAAUGAAACUCAAAGGAAUUGACGGGGGCCCGCACAAGCGGUGGAGCAUGUGGUUUAAUUCGAUGAUACGCGAGGAACCUUACCAGGGCUUAUUAAUUUAUGUGCAGUCUGUAUCAGCCUUUAGAGAUAGAGUUUCCUUCGGGCUACUUACAAGGUGCUGCAUGGUUGUCGUCAGCUCGUGCCGUGAGGUGUCAGGUUAAGUCCUAUAACGAGCGCAACCCCUGUUGUUAGUUGCCAGCACAUAAUGGUGGGGACUCUAACAAGACUGCCGGUGCAAACCGUGAGGAAGGUGGGGAUGACGUCAAAUCAUCACGGCCCUUACGUCCUGGGCUACACACGUGCUACAAUGGCCGGUACAGCGGGCAGCCACUGCGCAAGCAGGAGCGAAUCCACAAAACCGGUCACAGUUCGGAUCGGGGUCUGCAACUCGACCCCGUGAAGCUGGAAUCGCUAGUAAUCGGAUAUCAGCCAUGAUCCGGUGAAUACGUUCCCGGGCCUUGUACACACCGCCCGUCAAGCCAUGGAAGCCGGGAGUGCCUGAAGUCCGUCACCGUAAGGAGCGGCCUAGGGCAAGAUCGGUAACUAGGGCUAAGUCGUAACAAGGUAAC
rnacentral:rRNA from 1 species